CUAACACCCACCGUGAGGGGGAUCGCAUGAUAAAAGUCACAGCUCUUUCACUCAGCUUGCAAGUUCAAGGUGUCACUGCAAAGGCUGUGUCAGUGUCUACCUGUAGGUGGAGCUGAAGACGCCUAAUCAGUUAAUGAAGCACAACUGGCCUAAGGGUUCCAGCCCAGGCUGAGGAUCGGCACAGAGGCCGGGUCCAGAUCUCCUUAGCCUAAG